GAAAGAAAAAAGGGAAGAAGAAGAGAAGAAAUGGGAAGAAGAAUGGAAUCAUUCAAAUUUGGGAGAAAUUUGGCGUUCGAAAUGUUCUCCUUUGGAUCGAAUUUCUCUUUCUUUUUCUCGUC
rnacentral:ribozyme from 13 species